GUCCGGGCGGACGACACGUGUUACAAUGGGGGGUACGAGAGGGUUGCUACACAGCGAUGUGAUGCUAAUCUCUAUAAAGUCUCUCUCAGUUCGGAUCGGAGUCUGCAACUCGACUCCGUGAAGCUGGAUUCGCUAGUAAUGGCAGAUCAGCAUGCUGCCGUGAAUACGUUCCCGGGUCCUU
rnacentral:rRNA from 1 species